rnacentral:rRNA from 1 species
UUUGACCUCGGAUCAGGUAGGGUUACCCGCUGAACUUAAGCAUAUCAAUAAGCGGAGGAAAAGAAACCAACAGGGAUUGCCUCAGUAACGGCGANGUGAAGCGGCAACAGCUCAAAUUUGAAAU